rnacentral:rRNA from 1 species
AAGAGGUGCGCAGAGAGACCAGCUGAGUACAUGGGCGGACCCUGAUCAGCAUGCGCGUGAGUGAUGAGGCCUUCGGGUUGUAAGCUCUUUUACCCGGGAAGAUACUGACGGUACCGGGAAGAAUAAGCCCCGGCUAACUCCGCUGCCAACAGCCCCCGCUAAUACUAAGGGAGCUAGCCGUUGCUUCGGAAUUACUGGUGCGUAACGUGCACCGUAAGCUGCUGUUUUAUAUCGCGUGUGAAAGCCCGUUGCUCAACCCCAGAACUGCCCUUCAGACUGCACCGCUUGACUACAGUAGAGGUGGGUGGAAUUCCGAGUGUAGAAGUGAAGUUCAUUUAUAUUCGUAAGAACACCAUUGGCGAAGGCGGCGCACUGCACCGGUACUGACGCUGAGGUGCUAAACCGUGGGGAGCACACAGGAUUAGAUACCCCGGUAGUCAACACAAU